rnacentral:rRNA from 1 species
UACGUAGGGUGCAGGCGUUAAUCGGAAUUACUGGGCGUAAAGCGUGCGCAGGCGGUUUCUUAAGUCAGAUGUGAAAGCCCCGGGCUUAACCUGGGAACUGCGUUUGAAACUGGGAGACUUGAGUGUGGCAGAGGGGGGUGGAAUUCCACGUGUAGCAGUGAAAUGCGUAGAUAUCGGGAGGAACACCAGUGGCGAAGGCGGCCCCCUGGGCCGCUCCUGACGCUGAGACGCGAAGGCUAGGGUAGCGAACGGG